GACGAACGCUGGCGGCGUGCUUAACACAUGCAAGUCGAACGAAGAGCGAUGGAAGCUUGCUUCUAUCAAUCUUAGUGGCGAACGGGUGAGUAACGCGUAAUCAACCUGCCCUUCAGAGGGGGACAACAGUUGGAAACGACUGCUAAUACCGCAUACGAUCUAAUCUCGGCAUCGAGGAUAGAUGAAAGGUGGCCUCUACAUGUAAGCUAUCACUGAAGGAGGGGAUUGCGUCUGAUUAGCUAGUUAGAGGGGUAACGGCCCACCAAGGCGAUGAUCAGUAGCCGGUCUGAGAGGAUGAGCGGCCACAUUGGGACUGAGACACGGCCCAGACUCCUACGGGAGGCAGCAGUGGGGAAUCUUCCGCAAUGGACGAAAGUCUGACGGAGCAACGCCGCGUGAGCGAUGACGGCCUUCGGGUUGUAAAGCUCUGUUAAUCGGGACGAAAGGCCUUCUUGCGAAUAGUGAGAAGGAUUGACGGUACCGGAAUAGAAAGCCACGGCUAACUACGUG
rnacentral:rRNA from 1 species